GUCCUACGGGAGGCAGCAGUGAGGAAUAUUGGUCAAUGGUCGGGAGACUGAACCAGCCAAGCCGCGUGAGGGAUGAAGGUACAGAGUAUCGUAAACCUCUUUUGUCAGGGAACAAAGGCGGGGACGUGUCCCCGGAUGAGUGUACCUGAAGAAAAAGCAUCGGCUAACUCCGUGCCAGCAGCCGCGGUAAUGCGGAGGAUGCGAGCGUUAUCCGGAUUUAUUGGGUUUAAAGGGUGCGCAGGCGGUCUGUUAAGUCAGCGGUCAAAGUCAGGGGCGCAAC
rnacentral:rRNA from 1 species